rnacentral:rRNA from 1 species
CCUACGGGCGGCUGCAGUGGGGAAUAUUGGACAAUGGGGGCAACCCUGAUCCAGCCAUGCCGCGUGUGUGAAGAAGGCCCUCGGGUUGUAAAGCACUUUCAGUGAGGAAGAACGCCUGGUGGUUAAUACCCAUCAGGAAAGACAUCACUCACAGAAGAAGCACCGGCUAACUCCGUGCCAGCAGCCGCGGUAAUACGGAGGGUGCGAGCGUUAAUCGGAAUUACUGGGCGUAAAGCGCGCGUAGGUGGCUUGAUAAGCCGGUUGUGAAAGCCCCGGGCUCAACCUGGGAACGGCAUCCGGAACUGUCAAGCUAGAGUGCGGGAGAGGAAGGUAGAAUUCCCGGUGUAGCGGUGAAAUGCGUAGAGAUCGGGAGGAAUACCAGUGGCGAAGGCGGCCUUCUGGACUGACACUGACGCUGAGGUGCGAAAGCGUGGGUAGCAAACAGGAUUAGAUACCCUGGUAGUC